rnacentral:rRNA from 1 species
AUGAACGCUGGCGGCGUGCCUAAUACAUGCAAGUCGAGCGAACAGACGAGGAGCUUGCUCCUCUGACGUUAGCGGCGGACGGGUGAGUAACACGUGGAUAACCUACCUAUAAGACUGGGAUAACUUCGGGAAACCGGAGCUAAUACCGGAUAAUAUAUUGAACCGCAUGGUUCAAUAGUGAAAGACGGUUUUGCUGUCACUUAUAGAUGUAUCCGCGCCGCAUUAGCUAGUUGGUAAGGUAACGGCUUACCAAGGCGACGAUGCGUAGCCGACCUGAGAGGGUGAUCGGCCACACUGGAACUGAGACACGGUCCAGACUCCUACGGGAGGCAGCAGUAGGGAAUCUUCCGCAAUGGGCGAAAGCUUGACGGAGCAACGCCGCGUGAGUGAUGAAGGUCUUCGGAUCGUAAAACUCUGUUAUUAGGGAAGAACAAAUGUGUAAGUAACUAUGCACGUCUUGACGGUACCUAAUCAGAAAGCCACGGCUAACUACGUG